CGGUUAUAAGAUCCCUCGAAGAUGACGAGGUUAAUAGGUUCGAGGUGGAAGCGUGGUGACACGUGGAGCUGACGAAUACUAAUCGAUCGAAGACUUAAUCAAUUU
rnacentral:rRNA from 1 species